GACUGGGGGAUUUGGAGGGGGUAGAGGAGGGGACAGGUAGCUUUGCAUAGGUCAUAACAUCAGUCUGAGAAAAUAUCAGUUGUGUGCAUCUUUGAAUGGGAGAGCUGUCAAUCAUGGAGCAGGUGAAGGUGGGGGACACAGAACUCCCUAAGCCAUGCCUGGUGUU